rnacentral:rRNA from 1 species
AUUGAACGCUGGCGGCAUGCCUUACACAUGCAAGUCGAACGGUAACGCGGGGCAACCUGGCGACGAGUGGCGAACGGGUGAGUAAUGUAUCGGAACGUGCCCAGUUGUGGGGGAUAACUGCUCGAAAGAGCAGCUAAUACCGCAUACGACCUGAGGGUGAAAGCGGGGGAUCGCAAGACCUCGCGCAAUUGGAGCGGCCGAUAUCAGAUUAGGUAGUUGGUGGGGUAAAGGCCCACCAAGCCAACGAUCUGUAGCUGGUCUGAGAGGACGACCAGCCACACUGGGACUGAGACACGGCCCAGACUCCUACGGGAGGCAGCAGUGGGGAAUUUUGGACAAUGGGCGCAAGCCUGAUCCAGCAAUGCCGCGUGCAGGAAGAAGGCCUUCGGGUUGUAAACUGCUUUUGUCAGGGAAGAAAUCUUCUGGGUUAAUACCUCGGGAGGAUGACGGUACCUGAAGAAUAAGCACCGGCUAACUACGUGCCAGCCGCCGCGGUAAAAC